rnacentral:rRNA from 1 species
CACAAGCGGUGGAUGUAUGUGGUUUAAUUCGAUGCAACGCGAAAACCUUACCACCUUGACAUGUACGGAGUCCUUUAGAGAUAGAGGAGUGCUCGAAAGAGAGCCGUAACACAGGUGCUGCAUGGCUGUCGUCAGCUCGUGUCGUGAGAUGUUGGGUUAAGUCCCGCAACGAGCGCAACCCUUGUCAUUAGUUGCUACAUUCAGUUGGGCACUCUAAUGAGACUGCCGGUGACAAACCGGAGGAAGGUGGGGAUGACGUCAAGUCCUCAUGGCCCUUAUAGGUGGGGCUACACACGUCAUACAAUGGAUGGUACAAAGGGUCGCCAACCCGCGAGGGGGAGCCAAUCCCAUAAAGCCAUUCGUAGUCCGGAUCGCAGUCUGCAACUCGACUGCGUGAAGUCGGAAUCGCUAGUAAUCGUGGAUCAGAAUGUCACGGUGAAUACGUUCCCGGGUCUU